ACAUAACAGGACCACUUUUUGCACUCAGAAGUACUAGUAUACUAUUAUUUAAAAAUCGAAUUUGGUGCUAACUGAAGGUAGGUCUGGUUUAGAAAAUUUUUACCUGGUUAAAGAAAACAAAAAGACCCUUAGAAAUUAACAUGGAAAUGAAAGAGCAGAAGUUCUAGAUGCACCUUACAAGCAGAGUGGGACAAGGCUGUAGCAUCAGUGUGCAGAAAGGAGGGAUGGUUGUGGAAACCAAGGGGCAUCUCUGACCUCUGAGGACAGAGCCAGCGCACCGUAAAGAGGUUAUCCCCAGCAAGCCUUUCAGUCUGUUCUCCAUUUCUGUGGUUCUGAUGUGUUAGUCAGGAACACGACCUUUAGAAGUUAAUCCCAACACUUUCCUCAUGGAGCAUUUAAGAGAGUUUGCUCAGACUGUCAUGCCGCUGUGCUAAGGCCUUGUAAGGAGUUUGUUUGAGCACCUGUUUCCUUAUGUAUGACGGGGCCAUUGUAGCUGCCUUAGUAAAGGUACAGUGGUGUCUGUCAUAUCCCCAGUGCAGAGGCAGCUAAUGCUGCCCAGAGUUGCUUAACCCAGUUUCCCAAAUGAGAAAUUAUGUGUACCAAAGUGACUUGAUGCCUUACAGCUAUCUCUAUUUGACUUUUUAAGGAACACAGGGAAUUCUGCUGAAGGUAGAGGUGAAUGCAAGUCUAAACUGUUUGAGCAAAACACUUGUUCUGCUGAAAUUACUGUAUUUGUUCCAGUGGCUUUUUCUGGUUACUGGCUAUUUUACCACUCAACUGAUAAACAAUACAGAAAAUAUUAAGAGGGUGCAUCUGAUUUUAGCAUCAUGACGGCUUUAUGAGAGAGUUAGAAGUCAUAUCACCAAGCACAUUGAUUCUUGAAAAAAAGACCAUAUUCAGAUUGUGUUAAUUUAUUCAAAAGACUGUGUCUUCAGCAGCAAGAUUUCUAAGCAUACUUGAAUUAUUUCUAGUAAUUUAUUUAGGGAAAACCAUUUGCCUGUUGGCUAUUUUUUUUUCUUAAUGCAUAUGUGCAAGUUCAAAAAUGCAGAUCAAAAUUAGUUUGGUCUUUCAAAGCUGCCUGCCGGUGACCAAAUGGCAAAAAUUAAGAAUUUCCAUGGAGUUCUUGCUGGGAGGUUUGCACAAAUCAUUUGAGUCCAGAUCCCAUUAGCCAAGUUAGGGCUUGCAAGUUAUUUAGCAAAUUGAGUUUGCUAUUGAUUUUCACAGUCCAUCAAGCAGAAAUAGACUUGCAAUAUGAAGGAAAAGGGUAUCUGUAUAUAAAAAGCACUGAGCACUGCAGUUAUCUGUUUUUGUUCAUAUUAAUGUCUAUUUUCAUAUUCUGUACACAAGAUAAUUUUACAUGUAAAGUGUGUUUUAGUUGAGCAUAUAGAAUUACUGCUGAAGUGUCUGGAGAAAAAGACCUGUCAAAAAGAGACUCAAUUCCAUGUCUUUCAUUCCUGCUCUAAUAUGAAUGCUUGUUUUGGUUUGGGUAUUUUUUAAUGUGGUUUGAAUCUUCAAAUUCUGUUCUCAGUUUCAAACAACUGCUCUGUUGACUCAAUUUGUAACUUGGCACAGCUGGUAAUCUGCAUUCUAGUCACAAGAAAACGCUACCUGCAACAGUGUAGAGCCUGCUUCUGAAGUUGCACAGGGAGAUCUUAGUGUAAAUCCCCUGUCCAGUAGGUUAACAUUCAGUCUCCUUCCCAAAGCUGAGUCAAUAAGGAUGGAAAUCCCAGGGGGAACAUUAUAUAUGUAUGUAUUGGAGAUAAAAAGUCCCAUGCACUCAUUUAGGGAGAAGAUAUGAAUGGUGAUCACCUUGUGUGCUGGGUCCCAGGGCUUUGAAUAAAGCUAGUUGUUAUAACAGCUUAAUUUAGUAGGUGAGCCAGCUACUGAAUUAAUGUUUUGUCAAUUAUAAAAAAGUUAUGGAGUUUGAGGAAGCAUUUUGAGGGAAGAUUUUGUUACAGAGACUACAGAAAUGUGUUUAACUCUUUGCUAAUUACUUUAAAAGCUAGUGGUUUAUCUCUAGUGAAAGAAGAAUGAGAAAACUCAUAAGAAUGAAAAGGUGAAGAUUUAGAGUUUUGUCUUACAUGGAUCCCUUACUAGAAUAAUUUAAGUUGGGAAAGACCUUUAAGAUCAUUGAACCUAACUGUAAAGCCAGCACUGCCAAGUCCACUACUAAAUCGUGUCCUUAAGUGCCACAUCUACAUGCCUUUUAAAUGCCUUCAGGAAUGGUGACUUAACAACUUCCCUGGGAGGCCUGUUCCAAAACUUGACAACAUUUUGAUGAAGAAAUUUCUAUUCAUAUCCAAUCUAAACCUCCCUUGGUGCAACUUGGGGACAUUUCCUCUUGUCCUAUCACUUGUUACUUGGAGAAAAGGCCGACAUCUGCCUGGCUACAACUUCCUUUCAGGUAUUUGUAGAGAGUGAUAAGGGCCUUGCUGAGCCUCUUGUUCUCCAGGCUGAACAAUCCCAGCUCUUUCAGCUGCUCCUCAUAAGACUUGUGCUCCAGACCCUUCACCAGCUCUCUUGCCCUUCUCUGGACAUGCUCCAGCACCCCAAUGCCUUUCUCUCUAGUGAGGGGCUCACUAGAGAAAACCCUGAACACAGGGUUUGAGGUGUGGCCUCACCACUGCUGAGUACAGGGGGACAAUCACUGCCUGGUCCUGCUGGCCACACUAUGCCCGUGACCUUCUUGGUCACCCAGGCAGAUGCUGGCUCAAGUUCAGCUGCUGUAGACCAGCUCCUCCAGUUCCUUUUCCAGUGGGCAUCUUUCUGGCCAUGCUUCCCCAAACCAGUAGCACUGCAUGGGGUUGUUGUGACCCAAGGGCAGGACCUGGCAAUUGGCCUUGUUGCCUUGUUAAACCUCAUAAAGUUCACUUUGGCCCAUUGAUUCAGCCUGUCCAGAGCUGCAGAGCCUUCCUGCCCUCCAGGUGAUCAACACUCCCACCCUACUCAGUGUCAUCUGCAAAGUGACUGAGGGUACACUCAAUCCCCUUGUCCAGAUUGUUGAUAAAGUUAUUAAACAGGACUGGAGCCACUACAGAGCCCCAAGGAACUGCUUGUGCUGUACGACAGCAGUGCCUUGCAAAGAAAUCCAAAAUGCUUGUUGUGUGCAGAUUCUAAUGCCUGAAUUGUUUUGGUUUCAGCAUGCAGAUUUUUGCUUUACUAGUAAUUUGCUUUACUGGUAAAUGUCUGACGAAAGAACUGUAGUCCUCAUAGCUGUAGAUUCCUAUUUCAUUGCUGAAGUCCUGAAGGUAUGGAAAAGGACUGUUUAUUGUUUUUUCUCCUCAAACAGCUAAGCCUGCUGGCAACAUGAUGUAUGAAAUAUUAUAGUUGUCCAAUCAAACCUGAGAAAUGUUUUCUGUCCAACCUAAAAGAAGCAUGUUGUAUAUAUGCCCUGAAGGACAAAACCAUCACUGCUUUCUUGGAUCCUUAACAUUUAAACAUAGAGCAACACAAGAUAAAAAAUGUAUUUGAGAAACACUGCAAAAAUGACUAUCUAGUACAUUUCUAUUUACCAGUUAAUUGGAAUAUUCCAGAAGCUAUUUAUAUUGUUUCGUAUAUUUAAACUGUUUUGAAUGAGCGUUAGACACUUGUUUAGUAAAAAACUGUAGAGAACAUUCCAUGUGAGAGGGAACAAUUAGCACCUGCUUCUGCUGGCUUUAUGUACCACAAUUGUAUGUAGUGCUUGUUUAAAAAUGCUGAUAAGCUAGGACUAGAAGCCUUUGCUUAAAAGUCAGAUGAGCAGUAAAAGGGAAUAGUAAAAGUGCAGUUUCAUGCUUAGAAAAAUCUAAUGAUUUUCAGCUGUUCUGCCUCUAAAGGGAACUCUUUCACCUGUCUGAGCUCCCUGUGUUGAUCCAGCUGUGUGACUGUGCCAUCAGUUAGUUCACCUGUGGUUCAGCCAAAAAUCAGUUUUACAGGAAAGUUAGUUUUCAGUGGGAUCAGUGAAUUGAUCUGGCUUACUGGCAUAUUCAGUAAAUCUCACACAAGAAAGGGAGUGGGGAAUGUGGGUGAUGAGGAGGACUGCUUCUUGUGGUGACACUGUCUUCUUAAAUCAUCUUGAUGAGCUUUGAAACAUCACGGUGAUGAUUAGACUGUGAUCACUUUUAGCUAGAAUAAGACAGAUCUACUACUACAAGAUGCAAGCCUUCGUGCUCCUACCUAAAUGUUUCCUGCUUUCUUUGUCAGUGCAUCCUCACAGAUGUUUGUGUUAGCUCAGGGGAAUGGACAACAGAAGAACAGGAACACAAAAAUAGGAGUACCUUUUCUUCUACCCUACCUAUAGGAGUUUUCAACUUGUUCUUCUGCAUGUUGCUCCUGCUAACAGAUGAAUAAUUCAGUACCCAGCUUCCAUGGUAGCUCAGAGUACUGUUCCCUAAUACUGUGAAUGAAGGAAUCUAAGUAUCCAUCUUACAGACAGAAGGAAAUGCAUUUAAAAAGAAAGGGUCAUACAGGGUUUUUAAAAAGUUUCUUCAAUAGUUUUUCUAACUUAAGGGCUUGAUUAUGUAUGUACCAGCCCUAACUGUUUGAAAAGGUGAUUUUUUGGGACUCUGUUUAAGAGGGCACUUUUUGGAGAACAUAGUAAUGAAUAGCACAUACUCACCCUGAACUAUGAAGCUACUAUACAGUAAUUGUUGUAUGUGAAACUAUGCAAAUACAAAGGUAAAUUCAAGCCAGUAUAGUGACUCCUUCAUGAUGGCAAAUAUUUCUGUCUCUAAAUGGCAAGAAUGUAAAGCUCUGGCAAUUAAGAGGUUCAGCAGACCUGUUAAAUUUCCUGAGAGCCUUUGCACUGUAAAAGAAGACAUUUGGAGAAUGUAUGGCAAAUCUAGCAAUAAGAUCCCCUGAUUCAUUGCUUCUCCCAGCCAACUCCAGAAGAUAAAAUUGCUAAGGAACUAUUAUUGGAUUCUAAAGAGAAACUGUUGAAGAGGAGGAGGCCACAACAUGAUUGCCCUUUUUCCUGGGAGAUGCUGUCACUACCAUUAUGGAUUUCCUGGAUUGCUCUGUGGGUGAGCCUGGUUAAUUAGUUACCACCUCAAACACCUGUAAUAGGAAGGACUAGGAUAGUAUAUAGCUUGUCCCACAUUCUUAAUCUUCAGGGUCAGUUGAAAAAUUUGGAAUAAUCUGACAAAUGAGAAAAGUAACAAAUUUACUGAAAAUGACAACUGUUCCACAUUUAUAUCCUAGCUUCAGUCUUCUGAAGGUCUUUGUGACUGAUGUGACAUGAUCAGUGUAAAGCAUGCUGAGUUUUCCUACAGAUCAGUAAUUAAAUAGCCUAGAUACAGGGUGCAUGAAGCAUUAGUCUGAAUCUAAUUUUUAUAUGGUGGAUGCCUCUUUUCCCCUUGAUCUGAGGUGAAUUUUCACUGUAGCACUUUAGAACUUGAGUGUUUUCAAAGGUUUAUGCAGAUGUCUUUCAUUGAGCUAUUAAUAAAGAGAAGUUGAAAAUGGAAGUUGAAAAGAACAGUUGAAAAUGAAAAUCAACUGAGAAAAGUUGAAUGGAAUUCAGCUGGAGAAAAAAAUCCCUUAAGUCUCUGGGCAAGUUUCAAGUCAAAUGUCACAGCUGAUAUGCAAUCUGGAUCAUGAAAAACUGAAGUGGCUGCUUCACAACAGGUGAAAGUUGAGGCCUGCCACCCCAGAGAAUGAAUACAGAAAAACAGAAGGUGAAUGGCAGCAUGGCAAAAGAAAAACAAGACAGCGAUUCCAUCAGUUUCAAACAGCCCUGUUUCUGAUGGGCUGGGUGCCAGCGGAUCUGCAGCCAGGCACAGCAGCAAAGGAGCCCUUCCCUGCUGCUGUGCAGAGGAGCGUGAAAUGAAUGGGGACCUUCCUUUCUCCAUAAAAACUCUGACACAGACUAAUGUUUUUUUGAAAAGUGCAGUUCUGACAGCUGUGAAAACGUGAUGUUCCUACUCUCAGCUCCAGAGGAGAGUGUCGUAGGAGAGCUUCCCAACAUUCAUUAGCCAGUCUGCAUCAAAACUGCUGUCUGAGGAAUAUCCUGGUCUUCAGACCUGUUUGCAGCGAGGUCUGUGCUGAGGCCUCUGCUGAAGGUUGCACUUAUUAUCUGUAGUGCUGGGAAGUGUGUAUUUGACAGGCAGUGGGCUUCAUCCAUUGGCUCUCUUAACAGCCUUCAGCAUGACAGCAACUUCAUAUUAUUUCUACCUCAGCUUCUCUCAAGAAACUUAAUUUCUCAAAAAAGAAACUUCUAUAAAAUAAAUACAAAAUCUUCAAAAGAAAAUAUUUAAUGUGGGUAAGAAAAGGUCUUAAGUUACUAUUUUAAAAAUGUAUUCCUGCAAAUGGAUAAUGCAUAGAAAAAUUGUUCAUGGGCUGCACCAGUUUCAAAAUUCUAGUGGCAGUUAGUACAGGCCUGUAGGCUCUCCAGUGUUCUCCUUAACACUUCCAGACUUUCCAGGCACAAUCUCAACACCCCUUUGUUCACUCUUGGCAAUGCUAUCGGACUUUCUUUAUUACACACAAGAUAACAAGAGCUAUCUGGGAUGCAAUCUACAUUUGGUGUAGGGGGCAUAACACCCUCUGACAGCCUCUGCCCUAAUGUUCGUAAUAGCAAAACUGGACCUCUGAGCUCUGUAGGGUGCAGCACACAAAGUGUUCCAUGAGGGGAGCUUGUUGGUGUCAAUGGUAGUGAUAGGUAACCCACAGAGACAGCAGAAGUGAGAACUUCUUGUGUUGCAGCAGUGAGAUAGUGUGAAAGGGCUUUUAGGGAACUGGCCAGAUGAGCUGAAGCAAUGUGUGCUUCCAGCAGGCAGAGGAGAGAUGCUGAACACAUGCUACCUGCCAUCAGAAGCCCUGUGGCUGCCAAGAAUUGCAGCUACACCAUUACAUAAACCAUCACACAGUACACAUUGUGCAGCCAGACAAAGUGUUUGUGUGUGAAUGGCUCUGCGUAGGUGUGUGGGGAAGUUCACACAUGUUAACAGGUUCAUGUUUUAAAUUUAGUACCAAAAGUUAGGCUCUUUUAUAGCCUGAAGUCAUCACCAGCAGACAGUAUUCACUUAUUUUUUGAAAUGGAGAGAGAAAAAUGGAGGUGCAUGUAGCAUGAUAGAGCAAAUCUGUCCUGUUAGAGAAGGCUCAGGUGCAGAUUCUGUGCUAUGAAGGCCAAAGAGCAGCUCUGAUUCCCCUACAACACCAGUAGGCAUGUCACUAUUUUAACCCUUAGAAAACUGGCUGGCUCACAACAAAAUAACAAUAGAUCUUCCCAAACCACCUUUGUGAAUGUGAUAAUUUAAUUCAAACAGCCUAAAGCAAUUAGUCUGUGUAAAGAACUUAAAAUAGACAAAGCUACUUUUCUUUUUUUUUAAAGUAGCUAUUUCUAGCUCAUUAGACACAGAAAAAUCCUUUAUACUCAGCUUUUUGACUGCACUCCAUCAAUUCAGCCCAAUCAACAGAUUUUCUCAAUCUAGAAACAAAGCAAAAUGAAACAAGGGGAAUUAAAUAGUGAGAAGGUCAGUCAUCUCUGCUCAGCUUUCAAGGCUGCUAUAAAUGUUUUUUUCAGUUAUGACAUGCUGAAAACAUUAAGCCUCCUGAAAACUAUGGCCAUGAUUUUAACAGCUGCAUUAUUUUCAAGAAAAUUGAAAAUCCGGUUUUAAAAUACAGCUUUAUCUGGCUCUUUUGUAUGUAUUUUCAGGACUAACUUGCUAUUCUGCUCAGAAUUGUAAAAAAAAAAAAGUUUAAUUAAUUGGUUAAAAAAAGAGACACUCCUCCCAAUAUUGAUCCAUCCUGAUAUGCAGAGGAAUGGCCUGGCACAUUAUAGUCAGCAAAAACGACUAAAACACCUGCUCCCAGUCAAACCACAAUAUUUAUUUCAGAAGCUGCUAUCUAUUAUUUUAUAUCAAGUAUAUGCUCCUACAGGCCUGGGGGUAGUUUAAAAUAUUUCAUUAUUAUGGCUAUUCUGCCACAUGUCCUUUUCAAAAGGGCCAAGCAGUGUUAAAGUGGCUGCACUUUUAGAGCAGGCAGGACUGAUGGAAUAUAUUAACUCAUAUUUUUAUGGCAAUGGAUGGAUUUUCCUUGUCACAGGCAAACUAUGCUUUCUGCAUGGCUGGGGAUAGUGGCAGAUUUUUUUAAUUAACAUUUGAAUCUAUUAUUUAUGAGUGCAUUCCCUGAUGUCUGAAUCCAAGGGCAAGCCCUGCUGUGCUUGACGUGGUCUCUCACAAGAGGGCUUGAAAGGACCUCCACCUUACAAGUGGAGAGACCUGAGACUUGCUGCAUGACUGACUGCUCCUGCCUGUCAGGCAAGGACAAGCUUUCAGGGACUAAAGAUUUCCCAGUUCUCAAUGUCCUUGCCCCAAACAUCGUUUUCUAAGGAGAAUCAUGUUAGCUCACUGCUAGUUCCCAAGCUUGCAGAUGUUAACAGAAGACCUUGUUGUUAAGGCAGGCCCUUUUGACACCAGGAGCAGCCUAAGGCUGUGAGUUUCUGACAAGCUGCUCAGCCAGUGCAUCAUGCUUGGGGUGACAGGCACGUUCAGCCAAGAAAAGUGAAAACCACUGUGGAGUUGUUCCACUUCCUCCAAGAUAGACCCACCAAGAGUGUCAGUACUCCUGACCUGGUGGUGCUGACAGGGCUGGAGAAUAUAUCAAUGCAGUCACUCAGAAGGCAGCUCUUUUUUAUUCUGAAUAAUUAUGUGAGUCAGGCAUACAUUAAGCACGUGGCAAAUAAUCUAUAUUUUCUGUGGACAGAAGAUUUUUAAAUUUCCAACAAAUUUACAAAUGUUUUUAAGGGAGUAUACCUAAUGCCACAAGGUUUCUAUUUAAAAAGUCUUUCUGUAAUGUAUUUAAAUGUCUGUUCUCAUUGUGUUUUCUACAGCAGAGCAAUAGUUGUAUCUCUGUGCAUCUGAGAUACUGUUCUGGUGUUUUACCAUCACUAAAGAACUGCUUGAAGAUGGUAAUACAUGGCUUUUAGGCACAGAAUUCAAAAACAGGAAUGUAUAUGUGAGACUGAAUGUGACUGCUACAAAAAAGUGAACCAUGGAAAUGAUGUAGUUUUAUGCAGCCAAAGGAAAGAUCAAAGUGCCUACAAAAGUACUUAUUACCCUAUCCAUGCUACCAAGUAUCUUAUUCUUUAAUUGCCAUUAAAAUGAAUGUAAAUACAAAAAGUGAAGGGAUUUUUUAAGCAUAAAUAAACUGGAGCAGUUGAAUAUUAACUUGUUUUUCAUAGGAAAUACAGAACUUCUGUAUGGAAUGGAUAUUUUUUACAGUCCUUGAGGAGGCAGCUCAAUCUGCACAAUGCUGUUUCCUAUAGACAAGCACACUGGCUCUGCAUAUAAAUGCAUGCUGGCAUUCAAGGUCAUUUGGACUCUUCCAAUUCAGAUUUCAGAAAAGGUAUUGCAGUUCUUAGAAAGGAAUUGCAGUUUUCCAUAGGCUUUAUAUGUUACGAGUGACUGAAUACACUGAUCUUUCUGAAGCAACAUCUGGAAAAUAUACAAGGAGCUUCAGCCAUCAGCAGUGGUCUUUAAUCAAGGUUUGCAACAAAGCUCAAUAAUUUUUUGAUCUCGAAAGGCAUUUUUAAAAUCAAUGUAUGAAUGAUAAUUUAACAUAAUAAAUCAUUUGUGAUGCUUGUUUUCGGGAAGGGUGACUUGAAGAGGCAUGGACCUGUUUCCUUCCUAUUAAAUAAUCUCAGAGGUUUGUUUAUAAAAAUUAAAAGCAUUUAAAAAAAGAACAAAGUUACAGAAGUGGUGGUAAUUAUUCUAUCAAUAAUCAGUAGAAGUGUAACUUCUGGAUUUCCUAUAAUCACUCUAUAUGUGAUUUUGACUGCUGGGUUACUAAACAGUGUUUUGUUGUUCAUGUGCUUUUUAUUGUGUUGAAUGAUAAGCUGUACCUAUGAUCAUAAAAUAAAUUUACUUUUCUCAAAACCAGC